CCGGUCUGAAAGAAGGAGAAAAGGGCCAUCAUUGGAGGGGCUUUCACAGCCAAAACGUGGACCAGCCCGGCAAGGUCAAAGGUUCGAGACCGCGGGAGACCAAGGUCUCCAGAUGGCUGAAACAUGAAUUGAAACAUCCUGGUUUUCUUGGGAAUAAACAAUCUCUGCUUAAGUCAGAAGUGAAAAGUUAUGAUUUUCCACAUAUUUGGAUCAGACUCAUGCUAUUCCAUAAAUGCAAAUAAUCAGCUUGGAAGAAGAGGGACUCUUAAAAAACAUUAGGGAUUUGAACACUAUAACCUGCCAUACAAAAGGCGAAGGAGAGUUCUUCCAUGUAAGAAUUUCAAGACUGGAACAAAGUCAUAUUUUCUAAAUGUUUAAGGAACUAGAUUUCCAGGCCUUUCAAACAAUGGGAAUCCCUAGAUAAAUAUCUAAUCCAUUAGAAAGAUGCAAAUAGUUUACUGUAAGGCCACUGCACGGUGAGAUGUGCAUUCAUAUCUAUGGCUCCUGAUUGGCUAUUUCCUUCAGUAAAUCAAUGAAUAAUGUAAAACCUGAUUGCUGUAAAGUGGUGGAUUUUUUUAUUCCCUUCCCCCAUUCCUUCAUGACUCAAUAUAUUAAAGAAGUCUUACUCUCUCGAAAA